ensembl:snRNA U6 U6 spliceosomal RNA
GUCCUCACUUUGGCAACACAUAUACUAAAACUGAAACAAUACAGAAGAUUAGCAUGACCCUUGUGCAAGGAUGACACACACAAAAAAGCCCCCCAAAAUCCU